ensembl:lncRNA LINC00667 long intergenic non-protein coding RNA 667
GUAAAGAAUGCAUAUAUGAUUCUUAUUUUAUGGCAUUUUAAACUUUCCACCCCACGGUUUUAAAGUGUUAAUAUAUGUUAAAAAUAUAUGCAAUUUAUAAAGGAGAAGGAAAGCCCAGCUUGAUUUUUGCUGCCAAAGAUGGUAUAUUUAAAAUUAAACGUAACUAAUGGCAAAAAAUAAUGGGAAUGGUGCAGUCUUUGAGCUGUAUCCAGUUGGCAUUAUUCUCUUGGACUAAAAGGAAUAGUAUUAACUUCCUCACUUUGGGUAAGCCACUUUAGAUUUUUGGGCUGCAGUUUUCUCAGGUAAUUAGAGACUUUAUAUUAUGAAAGUUUGGUUCACAAUUCUUUGAGUCUCUUUUGGGAACAAAGAAGGUAAGAGGAGGAUAUGUGCCCUCCUCUCAAUCAAGGGGUUUCUUGAAACCCUCUAAGGAGAAAAAUCUGAAACUGCCUUUCCUAAAACGUUCAUGGGUUUGUCAUUCUGAUGAUCAAUAUCGUCCCACUGAAGUAUCUUUUUGAAUUCCUAGUUAGGAAUCUUUAUGUUAAGAUAAACUGAUCACUCUCUCCUUCGUGGACAGUUUAUCUACCUAAAGAUGAUAGGGGAAAACACUGUUUUUGAAAGACGAAAUAAAGACAUGUUGUAGCAGUUAUUUUAUUGCCAGUUAGUAUUACAAAAGUUCCUAAGGAACUCCCCAUUAACUUGGCCUCAUAUGAACUACGCUUGAGUCCCGUUUUAAAUUGAGUCUUGAUCGUAUUUACUGACAGUUUCAAAGCAGCGUUUUUUUUUUUCCUCCAUAGUAAAAAACCUACAGGAUACCACCACCAAAGGAAAAAACAAGUUUUUUUCAGUAAACCUCACAAGAGCAUACAUUUGAUAGAAUACACGGAUUUUCUAAUGAAAGCUCGCCGUCACCAUUUUAUAAGUCAGAACAUGAAAGUCAAAAUAUCUCAUACAGAUGUCUUUUUUUUUUGAGAAGGUACACAAGGCUUGCUUGUAGAGAUGGAGUUACAUGGAGGGACAGAAGGUCACUGGUCAGUGAUUUUAGGUUUUUAUACUUCUGAAAACAGAUCCUUUGCACAUGGCCUGCUAUCAACAAUCCUCUACAAUGAUUCUCAGCAUCACCUAGGGAGCUUAUGUAAAAUCUCAAAUUCCUGGGCCCUAUCCCCAGAGUUUCUUAUCAAUUUCCUUGAUGGAGAACUAUCAAAGCAGUCAAAGCUAUCAAAAUAAAAAAGAAUUCUGAUUGGGUGCAGUGGCUCACACCUGUCAUUCCAGCACUUUGAGAGGCCAAGGUGGGCAGAUCACAUGAGGCCAGGAGUUCAAGACCAGCCUGGCCAACAUGGCAGAAACCCCAUCUCUACUAAAAAUACCAAAAUUAGCCGGGCAUGGUGGAACACACCUGCAAUCCCAGCUACUCGGGAGGCUGAGGCAAGAGAAUCGCUUGAACCUGGGAGGCAGAAGUUGCAGUGAAACAAGUUGGUGCCAAUGCAUUCCAGCCUGGAUGAUGGAGCGAGACUCUGUCUCAAGAAAAAAAAAACAAAAACAAAAACAGAA